rnacentral:rRNA from 1 species
GUUAUUAACGGCGCAGGGCGGAUGCCUUGGCACUA